UAGUGCGCAGGCGCAGCGCCACUUACCCAGCAUGGAAGUGGUCGGUCUCGCAUGUGUGGUAGCAGCGGUCCUCGCUUGGGGCUUCUGGGUUUGGGACUCCUCAGAACGAACGAAGAGUCAGGAGCAGGCAGGCUUGCUGGGAGCUGGAAGCCGGACCCUCCUGGUGAUCGCGCACCCCGAUGAUGAAGCCAUGUUCUUUGCUCCCACGGUGCUAGGCUUGGCCCGCCUAAGGCACCAGGUGUCCUUGCUUUGCUUCUCUGCAGGAAAUUACUACAAUCAAGGAGAGAUUCGUAAGAAAGAACUUUUGCAGAGCUGUGAUGUUUUGGGGAUUCCACCCUCCAGUGUAAUGAUUAUUGACAACAGGGAUUUCCCAGAUGACCCAGGAGUGCAGUGGGACACAGAGCUCGUGGGCAGCAUCCUCCUCCAGCAUGUAGAAGCAAGUGGCAUCAACCUGGUGGUGACUUUCGACGCAGGGGGAGUCAGCGGCCACAGCAACCACGUGGCCCUGUACGCGGCUGUGAGGCCCGAUGCUCUCAGGCUAGAGCAGGUGACACGUGGAGUUGGACAGGACCUCACCCGCCGUGAGCUCCAGCCACCUCCCGUACUGCGGCCGCGGCGUGUCUGCCCGGCACGGCACGGCUGAGCGAUGGCAGCGGCAGCACUGGGACCCUGGCAUCCUGGCUCUCCGCUCGUUACUCUGUCAGAUGCGAGUGACCAGUCCAACCCGAGGACCCUCCCGUCUUGUCCCUAAAUUGUACAUCGCCUAGUGGAAGGUGCUAUGAAUGGAAAUGGUCACCCAUGUGGUCCCUCCAGACGGCUCUCUGUGCCGCUGCCGUGGGAUUAGGGCAGGCCAGACCGCUGUCCCCUCUUGUAAAGACUGCCCGCUUCCCGGCCAGCCAGAGGCCGCAGCCGUGGAGGAGACGUGCUGCUCAGGGCAUCGGGUCCCUUCACGUUCAGGAAAGACACACCCCCAGUCACAGUGCGAGAUGCAGUUUUCUGUGGAGAUGCAUGGGAAAAUGGGGCAGCCCACGCGUGGUCUCCCCAACCAUGUGGUCGCCACGCUCCCAACCUGACCCUUCUUGGAGCAGAGUCCUCUGGGCGUUAAGGGCCGGGAGGGUGACUUCGGGGCGUGCACCUCCAGCGCUGCCCCUCUCCUGGGUCCCCUGACCAGCUCAUACUCAGAAUGGCCCCAGGGCUCUGCCCAAAGUGAGGGACAAGUCAGGUCACUCUCAGGGUCCCAGAAACCUAUUGCAGGUUUUUCCACUUCUCAGGCUGUGCGGGCAGGCGGUUCCACAGUUUGCCAGCUGUCCCUCAGCGCCUGCGCCCGCCUCGCCCCCUGCAGGCAGAAUGGCCGGCCCUGUCAGAAGGGUGGAGUGGGGAGGUGGAAAGGAGAAAGGAAAUAUCAGGAAGAAAGAGUAUAUUCCCCUACUUGGCCACGGUGGCUCACGCCUGUAAUCCUAGCACUCAGGGAGACCAAGGCGGGCGGAUCGCUCAAGGUCAGGAGUUCAAAAAUAUUCCCCUACCAUACUCGCAAUUUCAAGAGAAAAACUUUGAAGAGCCCCAAGUAGCUACCUCCAUCCUCUAAGGGCGAAGCUGGGACCAGGGCGCCGGGAGCCACAGACCGGCCUCCGAUUGGCUGUCCUUGGGCAAGGUGCCCACCUGGCCCCUCAGCUAUAGCCAGAGGUGUGGAGUCCUGGAAGUCUGUGUGGUGACUUACGGGAAGGAAACCACCUGGGAGCCCCUGUGGAGGGGACCACGGGCAGGGCCAGCCUCCGCCACGGCCCCUCUGUUCCCUACAGACCCCUUGCGAUCUCACUCUCUUGUUCUGCCCUUUCCCUCCUCCAGGGCCCUGCACUCAGAAGGGAAGUUACCUAAAGGGUGCUCCGUGCUCACGCUGCAGUCUGUGAAUGUGCUGCGCAAGUACCUCUCCCUCCUGGACCUGCCC